rnacentral:rRNA from 1 species
AAAUUGAAGAGUUUGAUCAUGGCUCAGAUUGAACGCUGGCGGCAGGCCUAACACAUGCAAGUCGAACGGUAACAGGAAGCAGCUUGCUGCUUUGCUGACGAGUGGCGGACGGGUGAGUAAUGUCUGGGAAACUGCCUGAUGGAGGGGGAUAACUACUGGAAACGGUAGCUAAUACCGCAUAACGUCGCAAGACCAAAGAGGGGGACCUUCGGGCCUUUUGCCAUCGGAUGUGCCCAGAUGGGAUUAGCUUGUUGGUGGGGUAACGGCUCACCAAGGCGACGAUCCCUAGCUGGUCUGAGAGGAUGACCAGCCACACUGGAACUGAGACACGGUCCAGACUCCUACGGGAGGCAGCAGUGGGGAAUAUUGCACAAUGGGCGCAAGCCUGAUGCAGCCAUGCCGCGUGUAUGAAGAAGGCCUUCGGGUUGUAAAGUACUUUCAGCGGGGAGGAAGGGAGUAAAGUUAAUACCUUU